AAUAUUUUUAAGUUAAACAAUUACAGAUUUCUUACAAUGCCUGGAUGAAGUUUCCAGGGUUUACUAAGGCAUAGGGGGAAAUAAAUGUGUUAUUUCCUGACACAUAAUUAAUUAAUGAAGCUUUUGUUUAAAUUGUUGUUUUUUCCAGUUAUGUCCAGUGAAGCAUUUGUUUUUUAAAUUCAUUCGACUGUUGUUAAAGACGGAGAAAGCAACAAUUAAAUGGGAGUGUAUUAAUUAUAUGCAUUUGUGGCGUUAAUGAUGACUUGAAAAAUUAAUGCAAUAUCAACAAAUGCACUGAUUUUGAAAUGUACAUUUUGCUGCCAUGUUUAUGCAACAUACAAGUUAUUGUAUUAUUUUUACCAUCAGUCCAGCAGUUAUGGCAAUGUCUAAAGCUCGUCAAACCAAAGAUGCAAGUUUAAAGAUUUCUAUCAAAUUGUAUAAAGAGGAGCAUUCGAACGUUAUAGUUGCUCUCAAGCGAAGUGAAGAUUUAAGAUUUGUAAGGAUGCUUAGCAGUUGAGAUGAACAUUAAUAUGUUUGAAUAUAUUUUGUACGAAUAUUUUAACAUAAUCAUAAUAGUUAUUAC